GAUAACCAGAAUGGCAUCAUGCACUUUAGAAAUGGCAAAUGAGUGGGAAAAACAGCUUGCUUCUGGAUCUUCUGAGGUAGAAGUAAAUUCAGUGUUUCAGAAACUUACUGCUGAUAUAAUUUCUCACACUUCCUUUGGAAGUAGCUACCUUGAAGGAAUACAAGUCUUCAAAGCAUUACAACAUCUCCAGAGCCGCAAUGCAGCUGUACUUACUAAUGUUUUCAUCCCUGGAACCCAGUAUGUAUGCAUAUAAACAACUCAUUUCACAAAUAUCUCAUUAUUUUGAUUCAUACUAAAAGUACCAGUCUUUGUUUUUUUUGUAGGUAUCUUCCUACGCCAUCGAAUCUGGAGAUAUGGAAGCUAAAUAGGGAACUUACUACCUCACUUAGGAGCAUCAUUGAGAACAGGUUAAGAUCGAAUUCUGGCAAAGGUGGUGGUGGUGGUUAUGGAGACGAUCUCCUUGGUAUUAUGAUUGAAGCCUCCGAAUUGGCUGAUGCUGACACCAAGAGCAGCAUCACUACUACCAAGAUGAACAUGAAAGAAAUCAUGGACGAAUGCAGAACAUUCUUCUUCGCAGGCCACGAGACCACCUCCAAUCUGUUAACAUGGGCCCUUUUCCUUGUUACCGUGCACCAAGAAUGGCAGCAAAUGCUCAGGGAAGAAGUGCUCAAGCAGUGUGGGAUGAACAUUCCAGAUGCUGAUUCAUUGCCAAAGCUCAAACUGGUACCUUCAAAAUCGUAUAUUCUGUUGUUCAUGAUCGGUUGGUUAUGCUAUGAACGUCUCAAUAACUCGAGUUGUUGGAAGAGAGUUGAGACUACUUUUUAUAUUAUUUCUUUAACAGAUUUGUUUUUAUAUUACUUCAUCAUAUACUAUUUUUUUUAUGAAUGCUCUAUAGAUGAAUAUGGUGCUACUGGAGACACUGAGGCUGUACAGCCCUGCAAUAGAGACUCUGAGGAAGGCAACUGAAGACAUGAAACUGGGGAAGUUGGAUAUACCGAAAGGAACCUCUUUCUCAAUCCCAAUCAUCAUGAUCCAGAGGAGCAAGGAAUUCUGGGGAGAGGAUUCAAAUGAGUUCAAGCCAAUGAGAUUCGAGAAUGGAGUCUCUAACGCUGCAAAACACCCCAAUGCUUUCCUGGCCUUCGGGAUGGGUCCAAGAGUCUGUAUUGGACAGAACUUCUCGAUGAUGGAAGCCAAAUCUGUGAUUGCACUGCUCCUCCAGAGGUUUUCCUUCACCCUUUCUCCUCAAUAUAAGCAUGCUCCGGUCAACAACCUCACUUUACAGCCCCAAUAUGGCCUUCCUCUCAUUGUUAAGCCUCUCCAAAUGUAAUGACUUGUCAGAGAGAAGUCUACUAAGAGGGAGAUUUCUUAACCUCCCCCAUGUAUCAAAUAGUUUGAAUUGAAAUAUAUGGAGCCUAAAAUAAUAUAGCUGUUAUUAAUUUCAGCAGGAAAUAAUACACACAUACACCAUAAUUAUUUAGUCUAUCCAUAUAGAAGUUGGACAAAGAAUGAACUAUUACACAGCCACAUACACAAACAAUUAUCAUGAAGAAGAAGCCACUCAACAGUAAGACUGGUGGCAAUAAGUAAUGGACAAGAGAAGAGCAGCCAUGGUAGGUAGAAUUCGGUGGUUGUAGGAAUUAGUAGCUGAAGAAAAAAGGAAUAAAAAUAGCUUAGGAUGAUGAUAUGCAUCCUGAAGAUUGUUGCUUUUUAAAGUAUGGAAGGUUUCUGGUUGAUUCUUGUCGUUCAUUUCAUUAAAUUCUCUAUAGAUUUCAUUUUAUUUCUGUUCCUUCAAUUAGUACUACAGACAAGUAAAUCGACCUCUCCUUCGAAAGGAAAAGAUUAUUGCAGGUUUCUGAAUUCCAGUAUAUUACCAAGGUCUCAAGACUUUUGUUUUCUCAUUUUAAUGUCUGACGUUUUUUUUUUGAAGUAGUCUGAUGUUAUUUUAAUGUUACUAGGUGUUUUUUUGAAGUAUUCUGAUGUCAUUUUAAUGUUACUUUGAAGUAGUCUGAUGUCAUUUUAAUGUUACUAGGUGUUUCCGUUUACUUUCACUAGGUUGUAGGUGAACGCGAUAUCUGUUAUUUGUUAGUUGAUUUGUAGGCAUUUUUGUUCAUCUGUGCAUUAAUUUAAAAAUAAAUUGUACUUUGUUAAUUUGGUUUGAUUGGAUGGUUAUCUUAAAAAUAAUAGCCGGAAAUGAGAUAUUUUCUUCAAGUAAGAGCUAAUAAAGUGCGAACCUGGCCCAUCUGUACUGGUUUUUGGAUUACAAGCCGCAAUACUUCAUUAAUCUGGUUUGGUUGUCGAGUCGAAAUCAGCAAAGUAAUAGCUCGAAAUGAGAUAUCUUCUAUGAGUUUUUUACCAAAAUAAAGUAAAGGUACGUAUUAAGUGAGCAUAAGAAACCUGAGGUGGCAAAUAAAGCAUACUAAUUAUAGUUUCUGGAAGAUUAAAACCUCGUAUAGUAAAAUACAUAGUUUGUGGAAACAGAGAGACAGUUGAGUCCAUUACGCAAACACCCCAUUCGAGUGGCUACCAUUCCUAAUCCACACUAUCAUCUAAUUGCCUAGAGAAAAAACACUGAUACUGUCUCUUAUCUUCAACUCCAGUCUGUCAUCUUUGCCUAAGCAAUGAUCUCACAUCCCAAUACUGACAAAGAUGUUACAAUCAUAUCUACCUCCUCCUUCUCUAAGGCUACUGUAUAAAUCUCAGUCCUAUCGUGUACCAUAAACGCACAAACACAAAGGGAUAGGACUGAAAUGGGUUCUGCACUACUGGGUGGUCUGGUGGUAGCUCUGCUGGUGAUUCUAACAACGAAUCUUUUGCUGCAGCUGUUGAAGACCCUCUUGUGGAGACCUUAUGCCUUAACCAAAUACUUCCAGAAACAAGGAAUCACUGGCCCUCCUUACCGUAUACUCUAUGGAUCUCUUCCGGAGAUGAAACAACUCGGCCUAGAAGCCAAGGGCAUGGUGUUGGAUAACCACUCCAAUGACAUCACUCCCAAAAUCAUGCCUCACUAUCACAACUGGUUCUCCAAAUAUGGUGAGACUGAGAACUACUUAAGUCACUCAACUUCUCGACUCUCUGGCUAUUUUUCAACAUAACUUGUGGUGGUGCAGGAGAUACUCUUCUGUAUUGGUACGGAGUGGAGCCUAGGAUUACUGUGAUGGAUCCUGAACUAGUUAAACAAAUCUUGUCCAACAAGUUUGGUUUCUUCGUCAAAUCCUUGUACAGGCCGUCUUUAGUGAUAGGAGAAGGGUUGGUUUUGUUAGAUGGACCUGCGUGGGCUAGGCGGAGAAGGACUCUCAACCCCGCCUUCUCCAUGGAUAAGCUCAAGGUCUCUCUUGUUCUACUUCUUUUUUUGGCUUCUUAUACUUGAACAAGAUUUGAGCUUUUUUUGUUGGUUGGUUAUGGAUUGCUGCAGGUAAUGAUAACCAGAAUGGCAUCAUGCACUUUAGAAAUGGCAAAUGAGUGGGAAAAACAGCUUGCUUCUGGAUCUUCUGAGGUAGAAGUAAAUUCAGUGUUUCAGAAACUUACUGCUGAUAUAAUUUCUCACACUUCCUUUGGAAGUAGCUACCUUGAAGGAAUACAAGUCUUCAAAGCAUUACAACAUCUCCAGAGCCGCAAUGCAUCUGUACUUACUAAUGUUUUCAUCCCUGGAACCCAGUAUGUAUGCAUAUAAACAACUCAUUUCACAAAUAUCUCAUUAUUUUGAUUCAUACUAAAAGUACCAGUCUUUGUUUUUUUUGUAGGUAUCUUCCUACGCCAUCG
rnacentral:lncRNA from 1 species